UCGGGAAUUUUGGGCAAUGGGGGAAACCCUGACCCAGCAACGCCGCGUGAAGGAUGAAGUAUUUCGGUAUGUAAACUUCGAAAGAAUAGGAAGAAUAAAUGACGGUACUAUUUAUAAGGUCCGGCUAACUACGUGCCAGCAGCCGCGGUAAUACGUAGGGACCAAGCGUUGUUCGGAUUUACUGGGCGUAAAGGGCGCGUAGGCGGCAACUCAAGUCAUCUGUGAAAUCUCCGGGCUUAACUCGGAACGGUCAGAUGAUACUGCUUUGCUAGAGUGCAGAAGGGGCAAUCGGAAUUCUUGGUGUAGCGGUGAAAUGCGUAGAUAUCAAGAGGAACACCUGAGGUGAAGACGGGUUGCUGGGCUGACACUGACGCUGAGGCGCGAAAGCCAGGGGAGCAAACGGGAUUAGAUACCCUCGUAGUCCCUGAGCGGGCUGGCAAGGCGCAU
rnacentral:rRNA from 1 species